GGAAAGCAAAUUAACAAGGGUUUUUUUUAGGAACCGUGUGACAACCAAAUAUAUGUUGCUUAUAAAUCCCAGCGCCCCAUUCUAUUUCAUUAGAGCUGGAAGAAUGGAUUCACAAGUGGAGGAGACCAGCUCCUUCCGCAGAGCGUACCAGCCUCGGCGUGUGAUUUGGUUGUUUACGAGGUGUUCACGUUUUGAAAAUACCGCACUAACUUAAAAACAAAACCUGACUCUCUCCCCUGCCGCUGUGCCAAAGCGAGGCACUGAACCUGACAGCCGUCUUGGCUUCCUUCCCUUGCACUUGACUCUGAGGGAAACCUGCCCCUGGAAAUACUUGUCCGUAAUUUAUCUUUACGAAGGCCUUUGUCUGUCGGUGCUGUCGGAAGAGACCCGUUUCUGUCACUUGGGUUUUGUAGGUGAGUCUGUCAGAUGGGCCCAGACGGUUCCCGCCUCGUGGCUUAUGUGACGUCAGCAUCUGGGUUUGCCGCAGGCCUGGGGGGUGGGGGGGUAAGCACUGUCUGCGGCCAUCAGCCAGGACAAGCUCUAGGUGUGGUGUGUGGACACGAUGCCACCCUGGACGCUAAGUGACCCAGAGGAAGACACGGGAACACCUGAGUCAGUUGGGCAGAGUGACUGAUGCAUGUUCUAACUUUGAGAUGCGGGUUACUUUUUUCUUAAUUUGUUUUAAGUUUAUUUCUUUUUGAGAGCAGGGGAGGGACAGAGACAGAGGGAGACACAGAAUCCGAAACCGGCUCCAGGCUCUGAGCUGUCAGCACAGAGCCCGACGCGGGGCUCGAACUCAUGAACCGUGAGAUCAUGACCUGAGCUGAAGUCGGACGUUAACCGACUGAGCCACCCAGGCGUCCCUGUGGGUUACUUUUAGUAAGAGCCUUUCACUUGACCUUCCUGCCGGACACCUGUUUGCUGAUGCUUCAGUCACCGUCUUGAAUCUAUCUUUAGAACUCCCCCCCUGCCUUUUGGUUCCGGUGUUAGUCACAGGAUCUGUUCUCAUGCUAUUGUCCCGAGGACAGAAGAGAUCGGGAUCUUUCCCGUCCCCAGGUGUGAACGCACGUCAGGCUUGGAUGUCGUGUCGCAUGUGUAUGUGCGCUCCCAUGUGUUAGGGAAAAGGGCCUUUUACGCGGUAGGACGGAAAGGGAGAGAGGUGCAGUGUGAAUAUCAAACCAGCAUCCGGAUAAAUUGCACUGGGCGGGGGGGGUUGUCUGCGGUCACCCCCGAGACAGGUCACUUUAAGCCCGAGAAGCUUCCCCCUUAAUGACGGGACUUGCAUGUGCGUCCUGUGCAGCCCUCGAUUUCACGUCCAGUGUUGACGGUGGGUGCGGCUUUGAGUUUGAGUUUGAGUCAGACCUGGGCUUGAGGCCUGGCUCUGCCAUUUAUUAGUUUGUCCCAAGGCAGUCAGUCGGUGGAUCUUGGGACCUUCGCUUCCUAGCGUGCAGAAAGGGGAUUAAGCAUAUUUGCUUCAGGAAUAAGCAGGGCCCUGGUCCCCGGGUCCUGGCUCUGACUGUGGCCGCUCACCCUGGGGUGGGGGCGGCCUCCGGGCCUGGCUCCAGGCUCCUGCACGCAGCCUUUCCCCCCACGAGUUCCUACAACCCGGCUAAUCACUUACUUGUGGUUCUGCUCUCAGUGUAUCCGGGACAAGGGCGGAGUCGGUCCCUGGCGGGGAGCGGUGACCUCAGCCUGAGCACGGAGGGCAGCCCCGUCACAUCAGGAGUGAGGUGCUUAGUUUGCCGACGACCGGGUUGCUAGGUGAGAGCGAGUGUCUGCUAAAUAGAUUUGUCACAUGUUGACUGUUCCAUUAGUGACAUCAGAUGUUUCCUCUGAGCUUCUGGAACACAGGAGGGUGGGAAGUGCGCGAUGGCCGAAGCAGGCCGGGAGAACAGCGGCUGUAAAUGCGGCUCAUGGCCGGGCCCAGGGCUCCAGCAGUGGUCCUCGCGUGGAUUCGUCCCGAUGGCACUUGGCGCUUUCUUGUCAGCUUCCAUUAUUUCCCUUUGGAUGGGC
rnacentral:lncRNA from 1 species